UCGCAGGAAGAAAUGGACCUCUAAAGCCCUGAAAAAUAAGGUAGAGAAAUUGACAACUAGAGCUACAGUCAAGCGAACGACCACAAUUCCAAAAAACGAGGGUCCAUUUCAAUUUUGCAAUAACUACAAUCGGAUAAAAAAGAGCGUACAAGACACGGCAAUAAGUGAAGAUAUCAUCGUAGGAAAGCGUGACGGAAUAACCGAAUUAUUUGACGUUCGAGACCAGCAAAUGGGAGGAUACAGCAAACAAGGCACAAAAGGAUUGAGAUAUACCUUUGACGGCGCUGAAACAGUCGAGUACGACAGAGCGGUUGAGGCGUGUUUCUACCGGAAACUGCAUCUGCUGGCGCUCGACACGCCUGAUGAAAUCGCCAAUAUAUAUUAUGUCUUAGGGACGCCUCUAUAUG